UACGUAGGGUGCGAGCGUUGUCCGGAUUUAUUGGGCGUAAAGAGCUCGUAGGCGGUUUGUCGCGUCGGCCGGUGAAAUCUCCACGCUUAACGUGGAGCGUGCGGUCGAUACGGGCAGACUUGAGUUCGGUAGGGGAGACUGGAAUUCCUGGUGUAGCGGUGAAAUGCGCAGAUAUCAGGAGGAACACCCGGUGGGCGGAAAGGCGGGGUCUCUGGGGCCCGAUACUGACGCUGGAGGAGCGAAAGCGUGGGGAGCGAACAGG
rnacentral:rRNA from 1 species